GGCUGCGGCCGCAGCGGGCCAGCGAGAGCACCAUAGAGAGGGGGCGACCCUGCUCCUAGAAAGGCUGGGACUCUGCCUGGUGACGCAUUUCCGGCAGCGCCGCGGCGCUGCGGGCUGCGAAGCUCCAGCCCUGCUCUGAAGGGAAGACCAGGUGAUGGCAGCCAUGCUUCUGACAGCCUGGCCCGAGGGCUUGAGCCAUGGAAUUGGCCCUAGGGCAGCAGGAACCUGUUGUUUCAGAAGUCGGUGACCUUUGAGGACGUGGCUGUGUACUUCACGCAGACGGAAUGGGAUGGCCUAUCCCCUGCACAGAGGGCCCUGUACAGGGAUGUGAUGCUGGAGAAUUAUGGGAAUGUGGCCUCCCUGGG